ACGUAGGGUGCGAGCGUUAUCGGAAUUACUGGGCGUAAAGCGUGCGCAGGCGGCUUUGCAAGACAGAGGUGAAAUCCCCGGGCUCAACCUGGGAACUGCCUUUGUGACUGCAAGGCUAGAGUACGGCAGAGGGGGAUGGAAUUCCGCGUGUAGCAGUGAAGUGCGUAGAUAUGCGGAGGAACACCGAUGGCGAAGGCAAUCCCCUGGGCCUGUACUGACGCUCAUGCACGAAAGCGUGGGGAGCAAACAGGAUUAGAUACCCUGGUAGUCAAGGGCG
rnacentral:rRNA from 1 species